rnacentral:rRNA from 1 species
GGGGCAACCUGGCGGCGAGCGGCGAACGGGUGAGUAAUGCAUCGGAACGUGUCCAUGUCGUGGGGGAUAGCCCGGCGAAAGCCGGAUUAAUACCGCAUACGCCCGAGAGGGGAAAGUGGGGGACCGCAAGGCCUCACGCGAUUGGAUCGGCCGAUGUCCGAUUAGCUAGUUGGCGGGGUAAAGGCCCACCAAGGCGAUGAUCGGUAGCUGGUCUGAGAGGAUGAUCAGCCACACUGGGACUGAGACACGGCCCAGACUCCUACGGGAGGCAGCAGUGGGGAAUUUUGGACAAUGGGGGCAACCCUGAUCCAGCCAUUCCGCGUGAGUGAAGAAGGCCUUCGGGUUGUAAAGCUCUUUUGUCCGGAACGAAACGGGCGACGUGAAUAUCGUCGUCUACUGACGGUACCGGAAGAAUAAGCACCGGCUAACUACGUGCCAGCAGCCGCGGUAAUACGUAGGGUGCGAGCGUUAAUCGGAAUUACUGGGCGUAAAGCGUGCGCAGGCGGUUUUGUAAGCCGGAUGUGAAAUCCCCGGGCUUAACCUGGGAAUGGCAUUCGGGACUGCAAGGCUGGAGUGCGGCAGAGGAGACUGGAAUUCCUGGUGUAGCAGUGAAAUGCGUAGAUAUCAGGAGGAACACCGAUGGCGAAGGCAGGUCUCUGGGCUGACACUGACGCUCAUGCACGAAAGCGUGGGGAGCAAACAGGAUUAGAUACCCUGGUAGUCCACGCCCUAAACGAUGUCGACUGGUUGUUGGGGGUUUGACACUCUCAGUAACGAAGCUAACGCGUGAAGUCGACCGCCUGGGGAGUACGGCCGCAAGGUUAAAACUC